rnacentral:misc_RNA from 1 species
AAGUCGUAACAAGGUUUCCGUAGGUGAACCUGCGGAAGGAUCAUUAUUGAAUUUGAAAGAGGUAUUGUUGCUGGUCUUUCGGGACAUGUGCACGCCUCGCUCAUCUCCAUUCACACCUGUGCACUCUUUGUAGGUUGGUUUUGGACUUGACCUUACGGUCUCGUUUAAGCUUGCCUAUGAUUUUAUACAUACACUCAGUUUAUAGAAUGUCAUUGCGUUAAACGCAUUAUAUACAA